rnacentral:piRNA from 1 species
UGGUCUGAUCCCAAAGUUAGGGGU